rnacentral:tRNA from 1 species
GACACUAUGGCCGAGUGGUUAAGGCGAUUGACUCGAAAUUACGUAAUCAAUUUCCCGCUGGGAGCGCCAGUUCGAGUCUGGUUGGUGUCG